UCAGCCCAUGAUUGUUUCUACUGAUAAUGCCAACACUGAAGAGAGAUCCCUCCAGUCCUCCUUUCCACUUCACAGACAUGCCUUUCUUCCAGCACAGGCAGGAGCGAUGCAUUGCCAGCUACUGCUGUUGCUGUCCCCUCUCCUCCAGACGACAGGAAUGGGAGCCCUGCCUGAUCUUCACUUGCUGUCUGCUGAGUCCUGAAGACCCCAUGAGUCACCUCCCUAAAGAGGCGCUCUGCAGAUCAGGCUUCAUGAAAAUACAUGGAGGCCACCUGAGCAGUUGAACAGGCUCAGCAAAACACUGUGAAGAUCCAAAGAGAAGAAAGACAAGAAAGGUUUUUGCAAGGCUGAAAAAUGUAAAUGUAAAAUGUAAAAAACUCUGAAUUGGGAAAAAACACAACACAGUGAUCUUCUUUGCUUAACAGUCACUUUUCAAAGUUCACUGCUGCACAACUGGGCAUUUUUGGAGCAGCGCCAGAGCUCCCUUUCUUCCAGGAGCUGUGAGAACAUAGCUGAAGCACACUUCUGGGGCUCUGCAUGGCUCCCAAGUUCUUGAAGCUACCCAUGGAAAUGGCUGACCAUAAAGCCUCUCUGUUCAUCUAAUGAACCACAGCCCUGCUCAAGCUUACUUCUAAAUUUGGGGCAUUUAAUCUAAAUUUCUUUUAUAUUACCAUGAACUUUUGAUUUCUUUGUACUUUCCCAUUAUUGGAGAUAGGGAAAGUAUUUCUGCUUUAAAAAUGUCAGUGAAGCCUCUUCACUAUUUUUGACAUCCUGUUAAUCAUGGGAAAAGAUCACCGCACAGAUUCACAGGACUAUCUUUUUUUCAGUCCAGGAAGAACAAAAGGUAGCACAUGAUAGCUCUGCCCUCAUUCAUGAAUUUAAGCCUGUCUUCCUACCAUCAUACUACAAUAUCAAACCUAAAGGUUGGGUUUACAGUAGCUUUUUCCUGAGAGUAACACCUUCAAGGAUAAUACUAUGUUGUACCUCCCACAUGUGAUGUAUGAAAGACACUUCAAUCCUUUCAUAUGCUGUACUUCUUGUCUAGGUAUUCAGUGCUGUAGGACUACAGUAUCUGCAGACAAUGAAAGCAGAAACUUAGGAGAUUUGGUUCUAAGAAAGCACUACGGAAAAGUAGAAUCUUAGGACAUUAGAAGGGAUAUCUGGAAGUCAUCUGGUCCAACCUCUUGCUCAAAGCAGGAUCAACUUCAGAGUUAGAGUCGGUUGCUCAGGACUGUGCUUGGUCGAGUUUUGAGUAUCUCCAGAGGUGGAGGAGAUUCCACAGCCCUGUGGCAACCUGUUCCCAUUUUCCAGCAAGAGCUUCAUGGACACCCAGGAAUUUGGUAUUAAUUUAAGUGCAGCCUUCUCAGAUUUCUGCUAAUAGGAAGAAUGGUUCUUCUAUUGGAAGAACCAGUGAAAAGUUCUUGCUCAGAAAGACCAUGGGAAUGAAGUCAAUGGCAAAACUUUGUCUAAUUGCGACUGGACCAGGAUCUUGUCCCUGAAUUUCACUUGCCAGUGAUCUGCACUAUAAGCCUAAAUAAGUCACCUGACCUUCACUUUCCUCCAUACCAGGAGGUAUGAAGUGAAGAACUACAUAGCAUUAAAAAAUGAAUUAAAAUUACAUUCCAAAAAUUGAAGGAACAGAAAGUAAAUAACCAUUUAAGAAAAAAUAAUAACGCUUAUUGCCAGGAGCUAAGCUAAUGAAUAACUAGUGCAGCCUAGGAAGAAAUACCUCUUAUGGGCAAGUUAACCUAUUAAGUCCAUAGAAAUGUGGUUUUGUAGAUUUUUCUGAACACCUGACAUUCACCACACAUGGACAGAGAUUCCAGAUGAGUCUGACUUCUGGUCCAGCAACAGUCUGCUCUGGUAUGGCAAUUCCAUGAGCUGCAGUUUCUGCAAAGAUGUGCUCCUCCUUGCACCAUUGAAGCUCAGAGGAGUUAGUCCACUGGAGUGGAAAGACAGAUAUAAUCUAUUUUAAAAAGUUCAAAAUAGUAGCACGUGUGGCAGCCAUAAGAUUUACAGGGCCAAAAAUCUAUAAUCCAAACAUGAUAAAUGUGGUGGUUACAUUUUUGGGUAAGGAAACAAAGAAUAAAAAAUGAAAAAGACAAAAAUAUGCACAUCUGCUACCAAUGGUGUACUGUGGCUAGAAAAUGAGGCUAAAUAUACAUUUUAAAAGAGAAUAAUGAACCGGAACACUUUACUAAGGAUAGUGGUGCAGUCCCAGUCACUGGCAAAUAACAACUGUUUGCCUGAAAUAGAAACUGGUUCAGGAAAGUCCUAUGGCCUGCUUUAUGCAGGAAGUCAGAUUUAAAGCUCAGAAUGGUAAUUUCUGCUCAUUUCCAGUCUGUGAAUGUAUGUUAGAAAGCACAGUUACACUACCAAGUAACAUUUGUAGAAAACUAGGGAAACAAUUAACUCCAACUAAUUAACUAAACUCCUAAACCGGCCACCAAGUUCCUCCAAGAGAGAAAAUAUUCAGCAUGGAAGAGCCACAGGUGACUGGGAACUAUGGGAGAAAACUACUGUUCUUAGCUCUCUCAAAGUUUGGUUUGGUUUCCGUCCUCUCCUCUGAACUCCUACUAUAUUCAAGGCAGAUCAAAAAGCAUUUGUAGAAGGCAAUUCUCCCCUAUCUUCAAUACUUGUUUUAAAGUGGAACACCAUCAACUACAGAAAGAUCCUAGAUGUUUGGCUUGGAUCAAUCAUUAAGUUUUAAGUGGUUUAAAUCUACUCACCAGUUGGAAAGUACAGAUUAAAAAUUGGAGGAAAACACUCUUUCUAAGCUGGGGAAUAGACUCCCAGGACAAGUAUAGGAAGCCUUUUUAUUUGGUCUUUUAAAACAAAUUUGAAUUUUCACACUAGAAGUACUAAACAGAGUGCCUUGUGUUUGGCAGGCUUUGUUAGCUGCACUAAGCCCUCUCUAGUUUUAAUUUUAAGAUACAAAGUUAUUAUGGCUAUCCUCUGUGGAUAGUGGGUGGGAAGGCAAAAGGCUGGAUUUUUCUUAUCUCUCAAAAUGAUGUUGUGGUUAGAGCUGGAAUAUAAUAUGAUGCUUCUGAGCUUCACAAGCAAAAUAUCUACAUUGUUUUCAGAGUGCUUUCAAGAAACACCAUCGAUGGAAUAGUGCAACUGAAGAGAAGCAGAAAACAAAAUGGAAAAUUUAUUUCUGUUCUGGAGUUUUUGGUACUGCAACCAUGAUUUAUAGCUUCUAAAAAUUGUCAUCUUCUGGGCAAUAGCUAUUAAAUGAUGCCACAUAUAUUCAAUUAUACCCUUGGCAGAUCAGCAUUCCCAAAAGGCUCCUGUUCCAUGCUCCCUCUUUCCAGGAAAGGAAGAUUCACUGAGUUUUAAGAAUGUUAUUUCUAGGACAUUUUAAAUUACAAAUAUAAAAGUACAAUAAAUACCUUUUUCCAAGAAAACCAAUGCAAAAGAGAGAAGUGAAUUCUAAUUCUAAUGGCUUUAACUGGAAACCAAGUCUAGGCAACUGAUACAGAUCCAAGACAUAGUGAGAGUAUAAACCUCUAUGAUCUGCAAAGCAUCUCCCUUUCAUUUUUUUAAUUCCCAGCUCACAUUACACUCACUUUUGCUUCUGGAGGAAUAGGUUCCCAGCAGAGUGGUCUGUGUCACUUUGCCUACCAUGUGAGACAAGAAAAUCAUUACCUUCUAUGUUGACUGGAGUCUCACAGUGGGUGCUCAGAGGAGAGCACGAUAAAGUCUGAUCUCCUGCUCGGAUGGGACGUAGACAUUUAUCCAGAUUACUUUAUAAAGUGUGAUUCACAUAGGAACAACAUUUGAGCAUUAGUACCAGGAGCUGGAGUCAGUCAAGUAUUAAGAGACAAAAGACUAUCCACCUUACUCCUAGCCUUCUGCGCGGGAUUUGCGCAGGGGCAAAUCGACUGCAUAGCCAUGUGGCCGUGACAACAUCUGUGAUGCAACAUGUUACACUGAUCAGUGUUAAUGGGAGCCUGAGGCCACAUUAGUCCUCCCUAUAAAUCAACACCUAUUCUUUUAUACUUCUAUGUUAACAAUUUUUAUAAGAAUUAUGUGUCAUUGAAGACAAACAUCUAGAUAAUAAUAGAAAAGAGAGUAUCGCAAAAUAAUGGUAAAGUGUCUAAACAAGCACCAAAAGGAUGAGUUAUUUCCCAGGAACAUUGCUUGUGUCUAUUUAGUAAAAAGUUUUUAGCAAAACUGGUGUAUACAACAGACUUGUGAAUAUUGCGCUAUACAAAACUUGAUUCUGGCUCAGAUGAGCAUUUCUUAGUGCCAACAGAAACAGAGAUAAGGCCCAUAGCAGUAUUCCUGUUUGUGGACCGAUGUCACACUGAAGGGCUAGGAACCAUUCUAAGACAUUCCUGAAUGGAUUUCCUCCUGCAGCAGAAAAAUCAAGAAGAAGCAGGAAAAGGGAUAAAAUGUCCAGAUAUGGGCAACGUUGUUUAGUUUUGGAAGGAAUUCUUAUUUUGCCUUUCCCCCAAAAUAUAAACCUUUAAAGUAUUUCAAGAAUUUAUUGACUAUAUUUAAAUAUGAGUGGAUGAGCCAGAUGCCUGAAGGAAAAUGUUAAGCAUUUAAAUCUGUUUAAUAUCCUAUGCUCUGAGACUCAUUCUUUUGUCACGGCUCUUGCAAGGUACAGUAAAAGGAAAAGAUAACUGACCAUAGUCAAAUAAUAUGUUUCAAAGGUUUCAAAGUCUGAACAUCAGAGACUUUGAACAAUAAUAGCAACCAUAUUUUUAAGCACAACCCAUUCUCUUAGCCUAUAAAAAAUAUAAGCUUGCCACACAGGAAAUGAAACAUAAUUUACAAGCACAAAAGGACAAAUGCCACAAUGAAUAUCAUCAUCUCCAAGCAUGGAUUUAUUUUUUCAUUAUUAAGUGAAGAAAGAGUUGACUUUAUAUGUAGCAGUGUUUUUCUAGCUGUGAUUUUAGGGCUAAAAGUAAUAUAAGGUUUGUAGGGCAAGGAAAUACAGACAAGUUUUCAGGCAUCUGGGAUGUGAAGAAGGACAUGUGUGCCCAAAAGUUUAUCUAUUUCUUCCAGUUCCAUUUCUUGGUCUAAUUAAAGGUAUUACCAACCCCUUCAAACUUUUUGUUGUAGACUUCAAAUGCACUUUUAAGUGUCGUAAAUUAGAAAGUAUAGGCUUGCCUAUCCAGAAAGUUAAUCUGGACUGGGGUAGGAUGUGCAAAAUGGGUGGAAUGGCCACCCAAUUCAAAAUUAGGCAAACUCAGUGCAUAUAGCAGCAUCUACAAAAGAAAAUAGUUGGACAUAAUUAAUCAAGAAUAAUUAUUUAAGAAUAAAUUCCUGUAUAUAUAAGUAAGUUCUGCAUCAUGAUCUUAGAGCUGACCGAAGUCUUUCUAGUACUUUAAUGAAAUAAAAUCUGAUUGCACUGAUUAUACAUACGACAUGAUUGUGAUAUUAAAACAUACCAAAAAAAAACCCAAACAAAAGUCCUCAAUUACAGCAUCUGCUGUUUGGUGAAAUUCACCAUCUUCAUACUUGGAACACUAACAAACUGUGAUUUGGCAGGUUAGUUUACGUCUGUUAAUAUUUACAUUUUCUUAGUUCAAAUAUUUUGACAUUUCAAUGACAAAGUUGUGAUAUCUGUUAUUUUAGAAUGGAGUUAUUUUUUCUUGCCACAAGUUUCCUGGUUAUGCUGAGUUUGAUGUCAUUUGUGGCAACUCUGCUAUGCUACAAAAGCUGGCUAAUAAGUGUGGCUAUUUAAUCCUGAUUUUGAUCACAAAUACAAUUUUUUAUUAGAAAGUGGGACACCAGCUGGUUGCAGUGUUGCUCCUGUUUCAUGAAAACCAAAUGCAUUUCUACAGUAAAAUGCAGCCUGCACUAUUUAAGAAGAAAAAAAUUUCCCGCAUGUCUAGUAAUACAUCUUUUUCCCUAUGAAUAGUUCUAUCUAGCUGGUCAUUAGCAGGCAACCACUGCUAGGGAGCUGUGGUAAACAAGGUGAUUUAUCUUUGGACUUCUGCUGCCAAGCUUUUGGACAUAAUCACUUUUAGGAGGAGGACAAGGAAAGAUGUGCAAAGCUGUGUUUAUUCAUUCAUUCCAAAGAGCACAUUGUGAACCAAAGAGGACAAGUAGGUCAUCCCUAAAGAGACAUCUAUAUGAGGCAAGCAAGCAAGGCAGUUUGCUAGUUCUGGAAAGAAGGAAAAUUAGUGAAAUAGCUAUUUAGUAAAAUAGUGAUUGUUUAACCACUGUUUUGCUUUUUCACAUCUUCCCUCCUUUCUACUCUCACUUAUUACCUUCUCUGUUGGACACACAGGAUAAUGUCUCCUCUUACAUAACCAGGGUAGUAAGUAUACUGUCCUAAGCCAGGACAUGGCCCACAAGAAGAAAUCAGCUUUGCCACCUGUGAAUGGCGUAACUCAGAUUUUUACUAUCGUGUCAGAAAUCAGAUUGCUAAUGAGCUGAGAGAGAAACUGUGGCUUCUGGAUUUGAUCUUUAAAUAAAAAAGAACAAAAGGGGAAAGCUCUUCUAAAUAAAUAGGAAAGUUUUCACUUUCACUGAUCGGACCUGCAUCUGUUUUUUGGAGACAAUUUUUAUGCUAAUAGCUAAGAUGCUAAGUGUAACUGCUCUCAGGAAAUAUUGCAAUGCAUGGGGUCAUACUAUGUGGACUUUCUUAGUGAAAAACAGCUUUUUACUAUCAUCAGUGUUUAUUGUUGUAAAACAAUAGUGGAAGUUGUUAUAUUGUUAACAUGGAUUGUGCCAAGUCUUCAGACUGAACUUGCACAUUUUUACAAUAAACACUGAGGAAAAGAAAUGAAUUAUCAUAUCUCCAUACAAAUACUAGCCCUUACUUAUUACCUCAAGGCAGCAGUAUCAACACUAGCUUCUGCAGGCAGAUGCACCAACUCCCUUAGCACUACUUGCUAGCCUGAGCUCAGGAUCCGUUCAUGCCUCUGAUUCAUGGCACAGAACCUGAACAAACUCAAGGUGUCUGCCUGAAAAGCUUCAUGAAUGCAUGCUUUUUGGGGAACAAUUUCACCUUAUCUGGGAUCUUAUUUUUAAAGUCUUAGACACAUUUCACAAUUGCUGCCUUAUUAUCGUUAAACCCAUCUGUGAGCAUGCAUUUAAUUUUGUGUGAGUUCUACCUUUCAUUGACCACAAAUGAAAUGAGAAUGGAUAACAGAGUUGGUCGACUCCCUUUAAGUGGAAACUUGCUGUAAGAUGGCCAAUGGCAUUUAAAAAAAGAACAAUUUUACUAUUGGCUUGUCAGCGUUAUGACUUCUGUACCAUGAACUUCAAGUGCUGAACUACAGCUCAUUAAAGGCAAUAGAAGUGUAAUUUCUAUGUCAAGCCUAACCUGAGGAGUUAAUCCAAGAGGUAGAGGGAGUGAAUGGUACCCUUGAUAAGCAAAAAUGUUAGUCUAAACAACUGUCCAGAUUCCAGCGUGCUAUAAUUCAGUUGUCUUGCUUAAUUUCUCAACAGUUGCAGCAUGGACAUCCAUACAAAACUGGCUGUAGUUUUGCUCUGGAUUAAAAGGAGGAUUAAAUUCAAUGGGACUUGAACUAGAUCAAAAAUGAGUGUUUUUGAAAUCACAUCUUAUUAGGUUAUAAUCUCUUUUAUCUUGAUGUAUUUUUUUAUAACUUUGGAAAAAUGAGCAAAUUCUCAUAUAUUCAUUAUAAAAGGUAAGUCAGAACCCCUUGAAGUCGAAGGAUUUUUUGGUAUUGAAUUUAAGUCUUGGAGCAGACUUAAAGAAAGAAAAACUCCAAUUUAAAUCUAAAUAAAAUGCUAAAACUCAUAAGCCAAUAUUAGCCUAUAAAAAUGCAACCAUUUUCUUUUUCAGAUUCACUAUGUAGAUGAUCUGAUGACUAUAGUCAGUGCUUCAUCUGUCCUGUGAUGUGUCUGCUUUUGCCAAGCUGGUUAUCUUACAUCACAUCUCACCUAACAAGCACUGCCACCAAAAGAUGACACAGAUACAAGUUUGCAAUAAAUCUGAUAGUCAAUUGAUAAAAGUUAGAGGAAAAGCUGAAAGAUGGUGUGCUGUGGAGAAGCAAACAUUAGUAGCAGCUUACACUCGGAUCACUUAAAGUCGAUAAUCAGCAAAGUUGCUUUAUUUUUGAAAGGAAAGGGGAAGGGAAAACUCCUGUUAUAGCCAGGAUCUUACAUGUUCCCAAAGACAUACUGAUACUUUUUACUAAGGAAUCUGGGACCUCACCGUCUAGUAUAUUGUGUAUGUGAAACACAUUAAAUGACUAAUCUUCAGUAGUGUCAAAUCUGAGAAGGUAUGAGGUUUGUUUUAGUUUGCUGAUUUUCUGUUAUAAGCCACUUGUACCAGGUUUCAUUUUGUAAGGUUUAGGGGAUUCAGACUCUUAAACAAAUAAAAUCUUUUGUAUUCAAUGAAAAAGUGUGACAAUCUCAUAAUAAGAGCAAAUAGCUUAUGGGCUACCUCAGAGACUGAAUAUCUAAGACUUCCACUCCUUUAAAUUGUCUACAGAUCAAAAAAUCCCUGCAAUCUUUGGCUUAAAUCAACUAUAUUUCCAUUAGCCUGAGUUCCAAAUUAAAUUUAGCAUAGAAAACAUGAGAUUCCAGUUAUGGUUUUAAAUGUUUUAGGAAACUUGAGAAGAUGCAACUGAGACUGAUUCUUAAAUUCUUUAAUACUGUUGUUUCCGUUCAAGCAUAGGAAGCAUAAAUACAACAACAUUUUGAACGUGUCCAUAGUGUUGGUCAAACAUUUACUGUAUAGAACACAUUAUGUUUUACACAAGAUUUUGUCUGUAUGUAUUUAUCUUCGUGUACUUAUGUAUCUGCAAAGUGUUCUCACAAAUCUAAAAAUACAUGGUAUUGCAAGCAGUUUUAUUAAAUGGAAAUUGGGCUUGAAUGCCUCUGUAAACUCCAUAUAUAGACUAGGUUCACUGCUAGUUCAUUAAACUUCCUGUAAAUAUGGAUCAAGAACAAACUAACUUUUAUAAUUCAUACCUUAUGAUUAUCAUUCAAAAUUUGGAUAUUGUAAAGAGUUCCUGGGCAGCUGGAGGAUGACUGCGACAGUGAGAUCUUCCUUUCUCACCUCCAAAAUCACUAGUUGGACAGCAAGAGGGUGUCUCGCAAAAAGACUUUUCUGGAGUUUUUAGAGCUAACUGCUUUGAUUCCUUGCCUUGGACUCUGUUUCUCAUUGCUUGGCAUUGGUCUUUAGUUUCUGGGUCUUUGCAUCCUGAUUUCUGGUAUCCUCGCCCUAGUGGCUAUUCCCAGCUUCUAUGCUCCAGCUUUGCCUUCUUGGUGUCUGAUUAGAUGGUAUUUAAUAUUCUACAUGAUGAGAUU